CUGGAGGUAUCAGAAGUGCGAAUGCUGACAUAAGUAACGAUAAAGCGGGUGAAAAGCCCGCUCGCCGGAAGACCAAGGGUUCCUGUCCAACGUUAAUCGGGGCAGGGUGAGUCGACCCCUAAGGCGAGGCCGAAAGGCGUAGUCGAUGGGAAACAGGUUAAUAUUCCUGUACUUGGUGUUACUGCGAAGGGGGGACGGAGAAGGCUAUGUUGGCCGGGCGACGGUUGUCCCGGUUUAAGCGUGUAGGCUGGUUUUCCAGGCAAAUCCGGAAAAUCAAGGCUGAGGCGUGAUGACGAGGCACUGCGGUGCUGAAGCAACAAAUGCCCUGCUUCCAGGAAAAGCCUCUAAGCAUCAGGUAACAUCAAAUCGUACCCCAAACCGACACAGGUGGUCAGGUAGAGAAUACCAAGGCGCUUGAGAGAACUCGGGUGAAGGAACUAGGCAAAAUGGUGCCGUAACUUCGGGAGAAGGCACGCUGAUAUGUAGGUGAAGUCCCUCGCGGAUGGAGCUGAAAUCAGUCGAAGAUACCAGCUGGCUGCAACUGUUUAUUAAAAACACAGCACUGUGCAAACACGAAAGUGGACGUAUACGGUGUGACGCCUGCCCGGUGCCGGAAGGUUAAUUGAUGGGGUUAGCGCAAGCGAAGCUCUUGAUCGAAGCCCCG
rnacentral:rRNA from 1 species